rnacentral:rRNA from 1 species
GACGAACGCUGGCGGCGUGCCUAACACAUGAAAGUCGAGCGAAUGAAGUUCCUUCGGGAACGGAUUUAGCGGCGGACGGGUGAGUAACACGUGGGCAACCUGCUUCAUAGAAGGGAAUAGCCUUCCGAAAGGGAGAUUAAUAACGCAUAAGAUUGUAGUACCGCAUGGUACAGCAAUUAAAGGAGCAAUCCGCUAUGAGAUGGGACCGCGGCGCAUUAGCUAGUUGGUGAGGUAACGGCUCACCAAGUCGACGAUGCGUAGCCGACCUGAGAGGGUGAUCGGCCACAUUGGAACUGAGACACGGCCCAGACUCCUACGGGAGGCAGCAGUGGGGAAUAUUGCACAAUGGGGAAAACCCUGAUGCGGCAACGCCGCGUGAGUGAUGACGGCCUUCGGGUUGUAAAGCUCUGUCUUCAGGGACGAUAAUGACGGUACCUGAGGAGGAAGCCACGGCUAACUACGUGCCAGCCGCCGCGGUAAAAC